rnacentral:rRNA from 1 species
GACUGGCGGCGUGCUUAACACAUGCAAGUCGAACGAUGAUGCCCAGCUUGCUGGGUGGAUUAGUGGCGAACGGGUGAGUAACACGUGAGCAACCUGCCCCUGACUCUGGGAUAAGCGCUGGAAACGGCGUCUAAUACUGGAUAUGUCCCGUCACCGCAUGGUGUGCGGCUGAAGAUUUUCACUUUGGAUCCUCUCGCGGCCUAUCAGCUUGUUGGUGAGGUAAUGGCUCACCAAGGCGUCGACGGGUAGCCGGCCUGAGAGGGUGACCGGCCACACUGGGACUGAGACACGGCCCAGACUCCUACGGGAGGCAGCAGUGGGGAAUAUUGCACAAUGGGCGGAAGCCUGAUGCAGCAACGCCGCGUGAGGGAUGACGGCCUUCGGGUUGUAAACCUCUUUUAGCAGGGAAGAAGCGAAAGUGACGGUACCUGCAGAAAAAGCACCGGCUAACUACGUGCCAGCAGCCGCGGUAAUACGUAGGGUGCAAGCGUUAUCCGGAAUUAUUGGGCGUAAAGAGCUCGUAGGCGGUCUGUCGCGUCUGCUGUGAAAUCCCGAGGCUCAACCUCGGGCUUGCAGUGGGUACGGGCAGACUAGAGUGCGGUAGGGGAGAUUGGAAUUCCUGGUGUAGCGGUGGAAUGCGCAGAUAUCAGGAGGAACACCGAUGGCGAAGGCAGAUCUCUGGGCCGUAACUGACGCUGAGGAGCGAAAGGGUGGGGAGCAAACAGGCUUAGAUACCCUGGUAGUCCACCCCGUAAACGUUGGGAACUAGUUGUGGGGUCCUUUCCACGGAUUCCGUGACGCAGCUAACGCAUUAAGUUCCCCGCCUGGGGAGUACGGCCGCAAGGCUAAAACUCAAAGGAAUUGACGGGGACCCGCACAAGCGGCGGAGCAUGCGGAUUAAUUCGAUGCAACGCGAAGAACCUUACCAAGGCUUGACAUACACGAGAACGGGCCAGAAAUGGUCAACUCUUUGGACACUCGUGAACAGGUGGUGCAUGGUUGUCGUCAGCUCGUGUCGUGAGAUGUUGGGUUAAGUCCCGCAACGAGCGCAACCCUCGUUCUAUGUUGCCAGCACGUAAUGGUGGGAACUCAUGGGAUACUGCCGGGGUCAACUCGGAGGAAGGUGGGGAUGACGUCAAAUCAUCAUGCCCCUUAUGUCUUGGGCUUCACGCAUGCUACAAUGGCCGGUACAAUGGGCUGCGAUACCGUAAGGUGGAGCGAAUCCCAAAAAGCCGGUCCCAGUUCGGAUUGAGGUCUGCAACUCUACCUCA